rnacentral:ncRNA from 2 species
UUACACGGCUCGUCUUUCGGUGCCUACGGGGGAAGCCCUGGGGAGAAUCGGGAAGGCGGUGCAAUUCCGCCACGUGCCCAACGCUGUGAGGAGGACGAACGGAACAACGGGAAUUGUAAGUCCCCAAGCCACUGACUCAGGUCGGGAAGGCGUUCCGGACGGAUGAGUCCGAGUCAGAAGACCGGCCGGGAGAUGAAACAGGCU